AACGAACGGUGGUGAUAAAAAGAGAGAAAAGUCAGAAAACCUAAAAUCUCAAAUCGCAGACACUCUCAUCUCUCUUCCUUCUCAAGCGUCCGAUCAAUCUCUUCCUUGCCCCGAUCUCUCUUCCCAGCUAUCCUUCCUUCCUUCCUCCAAUCAACACCUCUCUAUCUCACUCCCGCCCUUUUUUCGAAUUCUUCUGCCGGGUUUGUUUGUGUAUGUAGAUGGCGGAGUCGCAGCAGGCAAAGAGUCCCGGAGGAGGCGGCGGCGGUGAGAGCGGCGGAGACCAAAGCCCAAGGUCGUCGUCGUCGCACGUGCGGGAGCAAGACAGGUUUCUACCGAUUGCGAACAUAAGCCGAAUCAUGAAAAGAGGGCUCCCUGCUAACGGUAAGAUCGCUAAAGACGCCAAGGAGAUUGUCCAGGAAUGUGUCUCCGAAUUCAUCAGCUUCAUCACCUCCGAAGCGAGUGAUAAGUGCCAAAGAGAGAAACGGAAGACCAUCAAUGGAGAUGAUUUGCUUUGGGCUAUGGCCACUUUAGGUUUUGAAGACUACAUCGAUCCCCUCAAGGUUUACCUCACUAGAUACAGAGAGGUAUUAUCAAUCUUCUGCUUCUUAUAUUACUCUUUCUAUUUCCAUCAAGAGUGUGUUUUUUUGGAGUUCACUAACUUACUCUGUUUGCCCUUUGUUCUACUAACUUGGAAAAUCUCAGAUGGAGGUCAGUGGUUCUUCCCUUCUCCAUUCCUAGAAACUUUUAAACAUGUUUUAGAGAAUCAUCUACUUGUAUCAAAAUUAUUGAUUCUUCCCUCAUCUCCUUUUUAAUAUAUUGAUGUAGGGUGACACAAAGGGAUCAGCCAAAGGCGGGGACGCGAAUGCAAAGAGAGAUGGCCAAUCAAGCCAAAAUGGCCAGUUCUCGCAGCUUGCCCACCAAGCCUCUUUCUCACAAGCUCCUUACGGAAACUCUCAAGGUCAGCAUAUGAUGGUUCCAAUGCCGGGCACAGACUAGUUGCUAGUAUGAUGGUGUUCCAAAAAGGCUUGUCUGUAUAUUAUUUGUGUGUUGUAAAAGGAUGUGUUUUUUGCUAUGCAUAACUGUGACAAUAAUCAUCUCAUUGUUUGUUUGUUUCUUUUUCCUUUGGAUUUGUUCUGAACAAGUUGAGAAAUUCAUAUUUAUAAUUUGGUUUGUUGGA